GAAAGGGCAUGAUACCGAACAUGCCUGGACGAAAGUCCCUAUUAAA
rnacentral:ncRNA from 1 species